AAAACAGAGCUUCCGCACUAAGCACCAAAACGGAGCUUCCGCACGGCCUGAUACUUUCACCCACACAACAAAUCCGUUCUCUGGCUUCUCACUAGCAUCACCAUGGCUGUCCAGCAUUAAAGUACAAGGUUUUCAUUGGAAAGGUUGAAAUUGCUAAGGCCUAUGAAAAAGGUGGAGCAGCAUGCCUCAGUGUAUUAACAGACUAGAAAUACUUUCAAGGAGGCUUUGAGAAUUUGGAGAAGAUAAGGAAUUCAGGAGUGAAGUGCCCUCUGUUAUGCAAAGAGUUUGUUAUAGACGCUUGGCAAAUAUACUAUGCUCGCACAAAAGGCGCAGAUGCAAUCCUGUUAAUUGCUGCUGUUUUACCAGAUCUUGAUAUCAAAUACAUGACUAAGAUCUGCAAAUUGCUUGGUUUAAC